rnacentral:rRNA from 1 species
UACGUAGGGGGCUAGCGUUGUCCGGAUUUAUUGGGCGUAAAGAGCGUGUAGGCGGCCAGGUAGGUCUGCUGUGAAAACUCGAGGCUCAACCUCGAGACGUCGGCGGAAACCAUCUGGCUAGAGUCCGGAAGAGGAGAGUGGAAUUCCUGGUGUAGCGGUGAAAUGCGCAGAUAUCAGGAAGAACACCCGUAGCGAAGGCGGCUCUCUGGGACGGUACUGACGCUGAGACGCGAAAGCGUGGGGAGCGAACAGG